AGCAAUGUAAGAAAAAUCUGUGUACUAAAAAUGUGAAAAUAGUUUCCUGGUUUGUGUUUUCAUUCUCCCAAUAUAGGUUUUGGAUGACAAGCUUGUAUUUGCAAAAAUACACACCCUGUGGGAUGUGCUCUGUACAUACGCUGAGAUACUGUACAUAAAAUUGCCUCUGAAUCCCAAUCAUCUGAAAAACCUGUCCUCAGCCUUUGAUACCUUCAGCUGUUUUAUGAAAGUCCUCCAAGUGGAUGAAAGUAUCAACAACCGGAACAAGAGUUUUUCAUUGCCCUAUUUGAGAAGAGCUGCGUGAACGACUUUUAUAUUCAGGAUAGAGAUACAUUCAUCAAUCCAACCACCAGGAGCCGCACUUGCAACUUCAGCCUCCAUCAGAGGACCUCAGCUGCCCCAGCGAACAGGGCCUUCUGUACAGGGAAUGUGCUCCUCCUCGAAGCAUAGACAAGAAGCAGCCCUUAGAUCUCAUCAGGAAAUUCUACGGAGAGAAGGUCGGAAUCUACUUUGCCUGGGCUGGGCUAUUACAUUCAGAUGCUCCUCCUGGCAGCAGUCGUGGGGGAAGAAGAGCGUGUUCCAUUUACCACCCGGGGAAAGUGUAUACAUAUAACCCUUUGUGCAAGUGCUCUUUUUCUGGCUGCAGAGAUCCCAAGGACCAGACUGACUAUGAGAACAACCUAGCCAUGAAGGUGUUCUUCUUCCAGUUUGUCAACUACUACUCCUCGUGUUUCUACAUCACAUUCUUUAAGGGCAGAUUUGUGACUUAUCCUGGAGAUCUGGUGUAUUGGCUGUGAAAAUACAGAAAUGAAGACGUGUGAAUACAGCUUUGUGUUCGGACAGUCUAACCUGUUUCAUGUUUUCUCUUAGUUGCCCAAUGAAGAGUGUCUUUACUCUCUGUUCCUUAGAUUUUUUUAGGCAUAAAAUAAUGACUUUAUUUCAUGUUAGAGCUAUCUAAAAUUUAAAUGAGAUUUUCUGUCUAAUAUCCCAGUGUGACCCAGGUGGCUGUCUCCUUGAACUGAUGAUGCAGCUGACAAUAAUCAUGGGAGGACAGUCCAUCUGGAAUAACAUACAAGAGGUGUUACUUCCGUGUUUCUCAUGUGCAAAUUGGUAUCCCUGCAUGAGAACCAUAAACCAACAGAAAACCCAAAAGACCGAGGGCAAUGAUGGGUUGCCGACAGCCCAAGCUUUUCUGCCACAGAAGAGUGGUUCCAGUCAGGAAGACUGAGCAAGAGGCUCAGAGUCUUAGCUAAGGACAAACAAGUCGGGACUUCUAAUACGACCUAAUGCCAUCGACGGGGGAGGGCAGUUCAGCACAAGAAGGGAGCACCAGAUGAGUUAACAUGGAAGUUACAUCCUGGAUCCAAGCCGUGAUGGAUUUGGGUCCCGGAGGGUUAAAGCCCUGCUUCCGUUGGGCAUGUACCGCAUUCCA